GAUGAACGCUGGCGGCGUGCCUAAUACAUGCAAGUCGAGCGAACAGACGAGGAGCUUGCUCCUCUGACGUUAGCGGCGGACGGGUGAGUAACACGUGGAUAACCUACCUAUAAGACUGGGAUAACUUCGGGAAACCGGAGCUAAUACCGGAUAAUAUAUUGAACCGCAUGGUUCAAUAGUGAAAGACGGUUUUGCUGUCACUUAUAGAUGGAUCCGCGCCGCAUUAGCUAGUUGGUAAGGUAACGGCUUACCAAGGCAACGAUGCGUAGCCGACCUGAGAGGGUGAUCGGCCAAACUGGAACUGAGACACGGUCCAGACUCCUACGGGAGGCAGCAGUAGGGAAUCUUCCGCAAUGGGCGAAAGCCUGACGGAGCAACGCCGCGUGAGUGAUGAAGGUCUUCGGAUCGUAAAACUCUGUUAUUAGGGAAGAACAAAUGUGUAAGUAACUAUGCACGUCUUGACGGUACCUAAUCAGAAAGCCACGGCUAACCACGUG
rnacentral:rRNA from 1 species